rfam:Triticum aestivum genome assembly, contig: Triticum_aestivum_CS42_TGACv1_scaffold_131910_2BL
AGCUCAAUGAUUACAGCCAAUUACAUUGGCAAUAUACGCUAUACUGACCAUAUUUUGAUGAAAAGUUGUAUAUGAGGGCU